rnacentral:rRNA from 1 species
AGCGAACGCUGGCGGCGUGCUUAACACAUGCAAGUCGAGUGCGUAGCCCUUUGUAGCAAUACAGAGGGUGGGCGCACGGCGCACGGGUGAGUAACACGUGGGUAACCUGCCCUUCGGUGGGAAUAACCCCGCGAAAGCGGGGCUAAUUCCGCAUAACAUUCCGGGGGACACAUGUUCUCGGACUCAAAGGAGUGAUUCGCCGGAGGA